rnacentral:lncRNA from 1 species
CAUUCUCAUUGUCUAGUCACCCACUCAAGAAACAUCUAAAAUCCUUCUCUAGAUUACUCAUAUGGCGUCUGUGUUCCUUACCUUCAGGCUCUCACCUUGUCAGGUCAUUGGUAAUAUUGCUGAAAAAUUAUUCUUCCUAAAAUUUUGACCAAAAAAAUCAUUAUUUGCCAAUAAAAUAUUUUCCGACAACUCAAAUCCAUUCUUUAGUUUUUAUCCCCUUCCUUUUAGAAAGUAUACUCCAGAAGCUGGGACUCUAUUUCCUACUAUAGGAGGCAGACUCCAAAAUGACCCCAAUGACCUUGCUUUCUGGGUGUUCAUGCCCUUGUAUAAUCCCUUCCCACUGAGUGAGGGCUGAAUGACAGAUUUCCAACAACCAGAAUACAACAAAAGUAAUGGAAUGCCACUUCUCAGAUUAGUUGAAAAAAAAAGACUGUGAUUUGUGCCUCUUUUGUCCUCUUGCUCUCUCUCUCUCAGCCCUCACUAUUGGGAAGCAAGUUGCCAUCUUAUGAGCAGGGAGAGGCCCACAUCCCAAGGAGCUGAUGUUUCUGGCCAACAGCCAGUGAGGACCUGAGGCCUGCCAGGUCACAUGAGGGAGCCUGGAAGUGGGUCUUCUCAGUCCUGCCAACAGCUGUGAGUGAGCAUGGACGCAGAUCCUCUCCCAGUGGAGCAUUUGGAUGACCACGGCUCUGGCUAACACCUCACUUACAGCCUUGGGAGAGAUUCUGAGUCAGAGGCAUCCAGCUAAAUUGACCCACAGACACGGUAAAUCAGGGAUUUCUUCUUGGUUUGGAUCCACUGUUGAUUUUAGGUUACAAAAAGAUGGCAGAUUGCAUCUUGGGCACUCUCUUGUAUGACUUUUUGGAGAAGCCAGUUUUCAUGUUGUGAGAGGCCUGGCAGAGGGGCCCAAAUGAGUUCGCUGGGAAGCGGAUCACAGAAACCAUGAGGUCCCGGUUUAUGACUGCAAAACAAUGGUUUAAACAGUAUUCAUUCUGGAACAUCACUCAAUUUCACUAAUACUAGAUCCCAAACACUCUGAUAUCAGAAUGUUCUUCCCUAUUCGGGCUAGUUUAUAAAGUUCAUUUGAGAGUAUUCUGAAAUUAAAUAAAACAAACCUAAAACAGUAAGACUGCA